rnacentral:rRNA from 1 species
AGUGAACGCUGGCGGUAGGCCUAACACAUGCAAGUCGAACGGCAGCACAGUAAGAGCUUGCUCUUACGGGUGGCGAGUGGCGGACGGGUGAGGAAUACAUCGGAAUCUACUUUUUCGUGGGGGAUAACGUAGGGAAACUUACGCUAAUACCGCAUACGACCUACGGGUGAAAGCAGGGGAUCUUCGGACCUUGCGCGAUUGAAUGAGCCGAUGUUGGAUUAGCUAGUUGGCGGGGUAAAGGCCCACCAAGGCGACGAUCCGUAGCUGGUCUGAGAGGAUGAUCGGCCACACUGGAACUGAGACACGGUCCAGACUCCUACGGGAGGCAGCAGUGGGGAAUAUUGGACAAUGGGCGCAAGCCUGAUCCAGCCAUACCGCGUGGGUGAAGAAGGCCUUCGGGUUGUAAAGCCCUUUUGUUGGGAAAGAAAAGCAGCAGGUUAAUACCCCGCUGUUCUGACGGUACCCAAAGAAUAAGCACCGGCUAACUUCGCG